AAAUACCGGGCUUCCAACGCUCAAACACAUUAAAUAUUCAUUAAACCACGGACUUUAACAACAAUGGCAGCCACAAGGAAAACAAUUUUGAUCUGCAUUGCGAUGCCUCUUCUACUAGCGGCAUUGUGUACGUUAUUGCCCGGCGCUGAAGCCCGCAAUGUCGCAUUGGUUAAACGCUCCCCACUGUUUCCGAUUCCCCAGCCUACCAUUGACCUUAUUGUACGAUUGGAACCAGUAUUGAGGACUCUUCUGGGUAUCUUAUCACCAAUAGUGGGCUAAGACAGCAGCACAACCACAUACUUCCUGUUCUUGAAACUAUAAACAGUUCUCCAAACAUGUAUAUGUAAACAAAUAUAAAACCCAGGAUCAAGUCAACAAUAAAUUGAAUAUUAUGAAAUUUAAA